rnacentral:rRNA from 1 species
CAGCCACGGUAAAACCAGCCCCGCGAGUGGUCGGGACGGUUAUUGGGCCUAAAGCGCCCGUAGCCGGCCUGGUAAGUCCCCUCCUAAAUCCCCGGGCUCAACCCGGGGACUGGGGGGAGUACUACCGGGCGUAGGGGGCGGGAGAGGCCGAGGGUACGUCCCGGGGUAGGGGCGGAAAUACCUAUAAUCCCCGGACGGACCACCAAUGGCGAAAGC